rnacentral:misc_RNA from 1 species
AAGUCGUAACAAGGUUUCCGUAGGUGAACCUGCGGAAGGAUCAUUAAUGAAGUUUUUUGGGGUUUUUAAUCUCAAAAAAUAAUUCACCUUUUGUGCAUUGUUAUCUGAUAUACUUUGGUUAGAGCUUUGAUUUCAUUUAUUGGAAUCAACUUCUCGCCGACUCUAUCCUUUCUGAGGACAGUUGGCUAUGAAGCGGCCUACCAAGGUUUUUUAUCAAACACAUUUAAUCAACUGACCUAAAAACAAAUAAUUAAAUCAUAACUUUCAACAACGGAUCUCUUGGCUCUC